UACAGAGGUCCCAAGCGUUGUUCGGAUUCAUUGGGCGUAAAGGGUGCGUAGGCGGCGCGGUAAGUCGGGUGUGAAAUCUCGGGGCUUAACUCCGAAACUGCAUUCGAUACUGCCGUGCUUGAGGACUGGAGAGGAGACUGGAAUUUACGGUGUAGCGGUGAAAUGCGUAGAUAUCGUAAGGAAGACCAGUGGCGAAGGCGGGUCUCUGGGCCGAAAUUGACGCUGAGGAGCGAAAAGCGUGGGGGAGCAAACAGG
rnacentral:rRNA from 1 species